AAAGAAUUUUUGUUCACUACAAAUGUGUUGUACUCCAUGAGGCUUAGAGCAUUUGCAAACAUAAGCAUCUUUGUUCUUUUCUUCAGGAAAAACAAAACUGAUUGAUACCCUGGAUGAGGCCCAGCUCACCUGCAGCCAUGAGUCCAGCAUGGCUAAUGCAUGGAUUUGGAGACUGGGUCAGAAGAGGAUAAGGAAGCAUGGAAUAUACAAAGAUAUGGCAACCGCAGGAGAGCUGUGAAAAGGCCAUGGAUGAAGAAUUAAGUGGAUACUGUCAUGGAAUACUUCAAGGCCCAUAUUUCCACGGAACGGUGUGCAACAACAGUGUAAACUUGCUGAGGGUUCAAAACAUGAGAUUUUGUGAGAAAUAGGGGCCUGAUGUCCAAAAAACUACAGGUGUCCAAGGUUAAACAGUAAUUGAUUACUCUUGUUGGCAUGCAAGUAAAAUUUGGAUAUGACCUAUGGUCCUGCUGCUCAUAGGAAAAAGGUUAUGUUGAAUUAAAGACAUUCUGUUCAGUCA